CUACGGGAGGCUCCAGUGAGGAAUAUUGCACAAUGGGGGGAACCCUGAUGCAGCAACGCCGCGUGGAGGAUGACGCAUUUCGGUGUGUAAACUCCUUUUAUAUGUCAAGAAAAUGACGGUAGCAUAUGAAUAAGCACCGGCUAACUCCGUGCCAGCAGCCGCGGUAAUACGGAGGGGUGCAAGCGUUACUCGGAAUCACUGGGCGUAAAGGACGCGUAGGCGGGUUGGAAAGUCAGGUGUGAAAUCCUACAGCUUAACUGUAGAACUGCACUUGAAACUUCUAAUCUAGAGUAUGGGAGGGGGAGAUGGAAUUAGUGGUGUAGGGAUAAAAUCCGUAGAUAUCACUAGGAAUACCUAAAGCGAAGGCGAUCUCCUGGAACAUUACUGACGCUAAGGCGUGAAAGCGUGGGGAGCAAACAGGAUUAGAUACCCUAGUAGUC
rnacentral:rRNA from 1 species